GAUGAACGCUGGCGGCGUGCCUAAUACAUGCAAGUCGAGCGAACGGACGAGAAGCUUGCUUCUCUGAUGUUAGCGGCGGACGGGUGAGUAACACGUGGAUAACCUACCUAUAAGACUGGGAUAACUUCGGGAAACCGGAGCUAAUACCGGACAAUAUUUUGAACCGCAUGGUUCAAAAGUAAAAGACGGUCUUGCUGUCACUUAUAGAUGGAUCCGCGCUGCAUUAGCUAGUUGGUAAGGUAGCGGCUUACCAAGGCAACGAUGCAUAGCCGACCUGAGAGGGUGAUCGGCCACACUGGAACUGAGACACGGUCCAGACUCCUACGGGAGGCAGCAGUAGGGAAUCUUCCGCAAUGGGCGAAAGCCUGACGGAGCAACGCCGCGUGAGUGAUGAAGGUCUUCGGAUCGUAAAACUCUGUUAUUAGGGAAGAACAUAUGUGUAAGUAACUGUGCACAUCUUGACGGUACCUAAUCAGAAAGCCACGGCUAACUACGUG
rnacentral:rRNA from 1 species